AACGAACGCUGGCGGCAGGCUUAACACAUGCAAGUCGAGCGCCCCGCAAGGGGAGCGGCAGACGGGUGAGUAACGCGUGGGAAUCUACCCAUCUCUACGGAAUAACGCAUGGAAACGUGUGCUAAUACCGUAUACGUCCUUCGGGAGAAAGAUUUAUCGGAGAUGGAUGAGCCCGCGUUGGAUUAGCUAGUUGGUGGGGUAAAGGCCUACCAAGGCGACGAUCCAUAGCUGGUCUGAGAGGAUGAUCAGCCACACUGGGACUGAGACACGGCCCAGACUCCGACGGGAGGCAGCAGUGGGGAAUAUUGGACAAUGGGCGCAAGCCUGAUCCAGCCAGGCGGCGUGAGUGAUGAAGGCCCUAGGGUUGUAAAGCUCUUUCACCGGUGAAGAUAAUGACGGUAACCGGAGAAGAAGCCCCGGCUAACUUCGUGCCAGCCGCCGCAGUAAAAC
rnacentral:rRNA from 1 species